UGCCAGACUCCUACGGGAGGCAGCAGUGGGGGAUAUUGCACAAUGGGGGAAACCCUGAUGCAGCGACGCCGCGUGGGUGAAGAAGUAUUUCGGUAUGUAAAGCCCUAUCAGCAGGGAAGAAAGAAGGCGGUACCUGACUAAGAAGCCCCGGCUAACUACGUGCCAGCAGCCGCGGUAAUACGUAGGGGGCGAGCGUUAUCCGGAUUCACUGGGUGUAAAGGGAGCGUAGACGGCAUGGCAAGUCUGAUGUGAAAACCCGGGGCUCAACCCCGGGACUGCAUUGGAAACUGUCAGGCUAGAGUGUCGGAGAGGCAAGUGGAAUUCCUAGUGUAGCGGUGAAAUGCGUAGAUAUACGGAGGAACACCAGUGGCGAAGGCGGCCUGCUGGACAUUAACUGACGCUGAGGCGCGAAAGCGUGGGGAGCAAACAGGAUUAGAUACCCCCGUAAA
rnacentral:rRNA from 1 species